CUAAAGACAAGAAAAAAGAAGACCUUUAGAAGGACUGGAAAACUAUUGCCUGAGACCACUUUAAAAGAAUUACACAUCUGUUUCCUUUAAAGCAAAAUAUUAAGAAAUGAGUGAUGGCUCAUGACUGCACAGCUCUGUAUUUUGUUUAAAAUUCAUAGUACUUGGGUUAUGAGCAUAAAAAUGUUGGACAAGUUCUUCAGCUGCUUAUGACAGAUUGCUUUUGCAGGAGAAGUUUACUGAAAGAGUGAUCUUUUUGUCUCAGGUACUUAUUUUAGUACUUGAAGUGCUGACACUGUUCCCAGAGAAAAGCCAAAAUGUGUGACACAAGUGAGACAAAAAGCAACAAUAAAUGACUUUAUCAGGGAUUUCCUCUUUUGUAAGGAUUUAUUUUGACCCCUUAGAUAUAUCUCAUGACCAUCAAGGAUGCCCUCACUGUUAUCAGAACCCAAACCAUAUUAGAAUAUUUAAGCAUUAACAUUGUGACAUUACAAAUGUUUGUUUGAUGAUCAUUUAUGAGGAUGUGUUGCUUUGCCCUACAAUGUAUGCCAUUUGUUUCUUUAAAUGAAUCAGUGACUCUCAUGCAAAGAAAUAAGGCUGUUGGUUCCUCUUUUUUCAGAGGUAGCAUACAGGACUGGUGAGUAGUGUAACUUUGUCUCCAUCUAGUGGCAAAACUGCACAUUUCCGCCUCUGUGUCGCAGCUCACUCUUUACUUUUACCCUUUAACACUUCCUUUAACUGUCUUUUCUCAGCAAUUUAUUGCAACCUUUUUUGCUAGCUGCUAUUAACACUUUGCUAAUAGUGUUUAGUGUGUUUUACAGUGUUUUACAAUUGGUGGGCUUUGUGUUUGGCUUUUUUUUUUGCUUCUGGCAUUUUAGGAAAAAUUACAGAUGUUGAAUGUCUUUAUUUUUACAGUGCGGGAGAAAAGAAAGAGUCUCUUCAUCAAUAAUCACGGAACUUUGAGGCGCAAAUACAGCUCCUGCUCCACCAUCUUCCUGGAUGACAACACAGUCAGCCAGCCCAACCUCAAAUACACCAUCAAAUGUGUAGCAUUGGCAAUAUACUACCAUAUAAAAAACAGGUAAGGAUUCUCAUGUUACCUAAAGACUGCCAGUCAAUAUCUGGGCAUCUGAUAUCAAGGACAAUAUAUUCAGUUUA